UCCCACUCUAUGAAGCUGUGCCUUCGGUCAUCAUUCUCCUUGACAACGUCAGCACGCAAGCGAUAGAAACGAAGCGAGCGCGGCGAUGGAACAGACCUUCAUCAUUUGAGCAAGCCCGACGGCGUCCAACGCGGCCUGGUUGGAGAAAUCAUUAGUAGGUUUGAGAAAAAAGGUUUCUACUUGAAAGGUGAAGAUUUUACCAACUACAAUCCUCUUUUUGUUUUCCCCAUCUACUUUAGAGAAGAAAGGAGAACUUUUCUUGGUUAUUUUUGUGCGUCGAUCAGGGUUGAAGUUGGUCGGCGUCGAACGCUCCUUUGCGGAAAACCACAAAGUCUGAACAAACUACUGAAGAACAUUAUUUCUCAUUCAUGGAAUGGUAAUUGGUACUGGAUCCUCUGGCUCUGGUAGGAUUUGAUGCGUGUGUGAUUUGAUUUGUAUUUUAACUAGUUCUAAUGGCUGUCUUUCCUCUAAUGCACUGUGACAUGUGCUAAAACAGAAAGCAUCUACUUGGAGCUGACAGGGAGAAAGCCAUUCUUAUGAAAAGAUUCAUUCAGAGUGCAUGUAAUCUAAUAAUUUUUCUGUUACUCCAAAUCUACUUUCUGAAAGGCAUAAACAAGGUGGCUUGGCUAAUGGUAGAUGCCGUUGGCUCCCGGUGUUAUUAUAUAAGAUUUGGAAUAAAUAAAGCUCUACCGUAGUUGUGGCUCCACUUGCAGCUAAAAUUAACUUUGGUGCUCCUUUUGCAUUUGUGCUUAUUUUCUUUUAGAGGAUCACGGUUUCAAUUCUAUGCGCAGGAAUGUGAUCCAUGGAAGUGACUCGGUUGAGAGUGCUAGGAAGGAGUUUGCUUUGUGGUUUCCUGAAGGCAUCUCUGAGUGGCAGAGCAACUUCCACCCUUGGAUAUACGAGUAGGGAUAGGAAAUAUUUACUACGUACCUGAAAUUUGUAUUUCAGCUUUUCAUAAGAACCCUAAUAUUUGGGUCAUGACUGGUUGUUUGUCCAAUUGUAGUUGUGGAUUUUCACAAACUGCUUCAGUUUUAAUGA